CCUACGGGAGGCAGCAGUGAGGAAUAUUGGUCAAUGGCCGGAAGGCUGAACCAGCCAUGCCGCGUGAAGGUCAGUGCCCUAUGGGCGUUAAACUUCUUUUGUCCGGGAGCAAUAAUGCUCUCGUUUGGCCAGACGAGACUACCGUCCGAAUAAGCAUCGGCUCACUCCGUGCCAGCAGCCGCGGUAAUACGGGGGAUGCAAGCGUUAUCCGGAUCUAUUGGGUUUAAAGGGUGCGUAGGCUGUGAGGUAAGUCAGCGGUGAAAUGCCCCCGCUCAACGGGGGGAAGUGCCAUUGAUACUGCCUGGCUGGAAUGCGGGUGCCGUGGGAGGAAUGUGUGGUGUAGCGGUGAAAUGCGUAGAUAUCA
rnacentral:rRNA from 1 species